rnacentral:rRNA from 1 species
UACGUGAGUGGCGAGCGUUAUCCGGAAUCACUGGGCGUAAAGCGUCCCUAGGGGGUUUGGUAAGUACAAUGUUAAAUCUACUCGCUCAACGGGUAGGCCGCAUUGUAUACUGUCAAACUUGAGGUAUGUAGAGAUGAGCGGAAUUCCCGGAGUAGGGGUAAUAUCCGUAGAUACCGGGAGGAACACCAAUAGCGAAGGCAGCUCAUUGGACAUCACCUGACCCUGAAUGACGAAAGCGUGGGGAGCGAACCGG